rnacentral:rRNA from 1 species
UUGAACGCUGGCGGCAUGCCUUACACAUGCAAGUCGAACGGCAGCACGGAGCUUGCUCUGGUGGCGAGUGGCGAACGGGUGAGUAAUAUAUCGGAACGUACCCUAGAGUGGGGGAUAACGUAGCGAAAGUUACGCUAAUACAGCAUACGAUCUAAGGAUGAAAGUGGGGGAUCGCAAGACCUCAUGCUCGUGGAGCGGCCGAUAUCUGAUUAGCUAGUUGGUAGGGUAAAAGCCUACCAAGGCAUCGAUCAGUAGCUGGUCUGAGAGGACGACCAGCCACACUGGAACUGAGACACGGUCCAGACUCCUACGGGAGGCAGCAGUGGGGAAUUUUGGACAAUGGGCGAAAGCCUGAUCCAGCAAUGCCGCGUGAGUGAAGAAGGCCUUCGGGUUGUAAAGCUCUUUUGUCAGGGAAGAAACGGUGAGAGCUAAUAUCUCUUGCUAAUGACGGUACCUGAAGAAUAAGCACCGGCUAACUACGU